AUUGAACGCUGGCGGCAGGCUUAACACAUGCAAGUCGAGCGGUAGAGAGGUGCUUGCACCUCUUGAGAGCGGCGGACGGGUGAGUAAUGCCUAGGAAUCUGCCUGGUAGUGGGGGAUAACGUCCGGAAACGGACGCUAAUACCGCAUACGUCCUACGGGAGAAAGCAGGGGACCUUCGGGCCUUGCGCUAUCAGAUGAGCCUAGGUCGGAUUAACUAGUUGGUGAGGUAAUGGCUCACCAAGGCGACGAUCCGUAACUGGUCUGAGAGGAUGAUCAGGCACACUGGAACUGAGACACGGUCCAGACUCCUACGGGAGGCAGCAGUGGGGAAUAUUGGACAAUGGGCGAAAGCCUGAUCCAGCCAUGCCGCGUGUGUGAAGAAGGUCUUCGGAUUGUAAAGCACUUUAAGUUGGGAGGAAGGGUUGUAGAUUAAUACUCUGCAAUUUUGACGUUACCGACAGAAUAAGCACCGGCUAACUCUGUGCCAGCCGCCGCAGUAAUAC
rnacentral:rRNA from 1 species